UACGAAGGAUCCAAGCGUUGUCCGGAUUUACUGGGUUUAAAGGGUGCGUAGGCGGACUAUUAAGUCAGUGGUGAAAGCUUGCAGCUUAACUGUAAAAUUGCCAUUGAAACUGAUAGUCUCGAAUAUAGUUGAGGUGGUUGGAAUGUAUCAUGUAGCGGUGAAAUGCUUAGAUAUGAUACAGAACACCGAUUGCGAAGGCAGAUCACUAAACUAUUAUUGACGCUGAGGCACGAAAGCGUGGGGAUCAAACAGG
rnacentral:rRNA from 1 species